UACGUAGGUGGCAAGCGUUGUCCGGAUUUACUGGGCGUAAAGAGCGCGCAGGCGGUCGUUCAAGUCGCGUGUGAAAGCCCCCGGCUCAACUGGGGAGGGUCACGCGAUACUGAUCGACUCGAAGGCAGGAGAGGGAAGUGGAAUUCCUGGUGUAGCGGUGAAAUGCGUAGAGAUCGUGAGGAAGACGAGUGGCGAAGGCGGGUCUCUGGACAGUUCCUGACACUGAGGCACGAAGGCCAGGGGAGCAAACGGG
rnacentral:rRNA from 1 species